GCAAGUCGAGCGGAAACGAUGAGAGCUUGCUCUCAGGCGUCGAGCGGCGGACGGGUGAGUAACGCGUAGGAAUCUACCCAGUAGCGGGGGAUAGCCCGGGGAAACCCGGAUUAAUACCGCAUACGCCCCACGGGGGAAAGCAGGGGACCUUCGGGCCUUGCACUAUUGGAUGAGCCUGCGUUGGAUUAGCUAGUUGGUGGGGUAAAAGCCUACCAAGGCGACGAUGAAUAGCCGGCCUGAGAGGGUGACC
rnacentral:rRNA from 1 species